GUUCAUGUGGAACAUAUACUUAAAUUGGAACGUUACAGAUCAGAUUAACAUGGUUUCUCCACAAGGAUGACAUGCAAAUUGGUGAAGCUUUCCUUAUUUUU